CUUGGCCCUACUACAAAUAAGCAGUGCAGCCUUUGUGCUAAAUUUCCUGAAUUCAACUUCAAGAAUACACCAGUCAAAAACACCACUUGAUCCUAGCUUGCUAAGAUUCAGUGUUUGUUCGCCAGGAGAAGUUGUUAUUCAACAAAUAAAACGUCCAUCUGCUGGUAGUAACAACCAAGGUGUUGAAAAUGAAGAAAGGGAAGACGCAAGCAGUGAAGACCUUACUUAAGAAGAUAUUUCACUUGAGAAGAUUUUUGGAUUUUUGCUGAAGCUUUAGAUGUUCUAGGAAUAUUUUGCUAUUGACAUUUUGGAACUCAUGCAAACUCUUUAAAUGUAAAACUUUUAUGUAUUUGGGUUUUAACAUUUUGCUUUUAUGGAUAUUAUAACUAGCUUGUGGACAAUAUGGAUUAUGAAAAGUUUCAUUUUGUGAUUUUAUAUAA